GCUGGAUUUCUGUUGAUUGUAGCAGCAGUCGCGAUUUACUGGAUCUACAGGAGACACGUAAGAUUAGAUCAGACUCGGAAUGAAGAGAUCACUUACGCUGAACCAACAUUCCACAAACAAAAAGCACAGAAACCAGGAGUCAAACAGGAGGAUGAGGUGGUGUAUGCAGGCAUUGUCACAAAAAGAUGAUCGAAUUCCUCAUUAAUGUUGCCAUCACAGUCAGUACAGUUUCCAUGUAAGCUAGAAAGACAACAGAUUAUAAACCUUUUUAUAAUCUGUUAUAGUCUGUUAUAGUCUUUCGGCAAAAUUUUUUCUUUUCAAUCCUUUUACAUGCAGCAGUGUUACUUUGUUAGUCUUCAGAUGAAACUCAUCUGAAAUGUGUUAUACAUGUUAUUUUUAGGGAUAUAUUCAGUUAAAUAUUAACUUACUCUUAAAUUACAUGUGAUUGUAUAAUGUUUUUGAUCUUGUUAUUAGAAAACGCUUCCCCUGCAAAGACAAGAUUUUAUAGCUUUCCGUGUUUUCACUGUUAUACGCUUGGGGACGAUAUCACAUAUUAUUGAAUGAGAGCAGAAUCUUCCGAUCAAAAACACAGGCGAUGAAGACACACAAAUAAGCAUUUCUAAUAUGUAAGCAUAUGCAUAUGAAAAAUAAUACUAUUAUAAGUAAUAAACAGCGUAAAUAAAAACUGCCUAAUGUUAACGAAAUGUCAAUCUAGGAAGUGGGAAAGGACGUGAAGAUUUGGGAGAGCUGAUUGAAGCGUUCUUCUGCAUCUAUGCUUUGCUUAUUACACUGAAUAUAAUCCACAUGUACUGCAACCUAAAAAAAAAAAAAAACUCUGGCAGGGAAAGAGUUAAUCACUUAAUUAGGUCAAUAAAACAUGUCUCAUGCUGAAAAAAAAAAAAAUGACGCAUGCUUCAAAAAUGUCCUUGACCCUGAUUGGUUGAGCCACAUUCGAAGCUGUUGUAAAUUAUUUUACAAACAUACAGUACACCUUUAUUUAUGCCUGUGUGUUGUUUGGCAACCACACCGCUUCGUGCCUAUUAACAACGCCCCUUAGCUGUUAUAAAUUAACUGUAAUCCACUGGUUUAUUGCUUUUAUACAUUCAAUUAUGUAAACAUGAACUAUUUACAUUGGCAAAUGAAUGACGGUAUAAUGCAGCGUUGUUCGCACCCUUGCUUACUGCUUACCAAGAUGAUGUAAAUGCAAACUAAAAAUACACAAACAAGAAUAAUGUAGUCUGCAAAAUGAUGAUUUUGUCACAAAUACUAUCAGCAGACAGAUGAUUUGGGUGUUUUUAUUGCCGUGUGUAAUGCAUUUGACACUUAAGCAGCUGCAGUCACAAUAAAACCUGCUUGGAUUUCUCUGGCUUUGGAAAGAAAAGGGCUUUCAUCUUCUGGUGGACAAACAACUUAUGCAUGCAAAUCUAUAACUGGACAUUUGUGGUGAGUGUCAGCAUGUGAAUAGUG